rnacentral:tRNA from 1 species
GGACCCGUAGCUCAGCUGGAUAGAGCGUUGCCCUCCGAAGGCAAGGCUAAGUCAAGUGCGUUGUGGGUGAAGGCGAAGAAAAUCGAGGAAAACCAAGCGAUUGGCGGAACUCGAAGGAAACAGGAAAACUGCUUCCGUGGUCA